AUACGUAGGGAGCGAGCGCUAUCCGGAAUUACUGGGGGUGAAGUGCGCGUAUGCUGCGCUUCAAGGCGUCUGUCAAACUAUAUGGCGCAACCUUAUUUUGCAGCGGAAGCUGUGGCGCUGGAGAAGCAGAGAGGCAAACAGAAUUCAUGGUGUAGCGGUGAACUGCGUAGAUAUCAGGAAGAAUACCAGUGGCGAAGGCGGUUUGCUGGCUGCAUACUGACGCUGAAGCGCGAAAGCCAGGGGAGCAAACGGGAUUAGAUACCCCGGUAGUCCUGGCAGUAAACGAUGUAUGCUGGGUGUGAGACUAGCGAUAGUUUCGUGCCGAAGUUAACGCGAUAAGCAUACCGCCUGGGGAGUACGGUCGCAAGAUUGAAACUUAAAGGAAUUGACGGGG
rnacentral:rRNA from 1 species